AUUGAACGCUGGCGGCAGGCCUAACACAUGCAAGUCGAACGAGUGGCGGACGGGUGAGUAAUGUCUGGGAAACUGCCUGAUGGAGGGGGAUAAAUACUGGAAACGGUAGCUAAUACCGCAUACCAUCAGAUGUGCCCAGAUGGGUUUAGCUAGUGGGUGGGGUAACGGGUCACCAAGGCGACGAUGCCUAGCUGGUCUGAGAGGAUGACCGGCCAAACGGGAACGGAGACACGUUCCAGACUCCGACGUGGGGCAGCAGUGGGAAAUUUUGCAAAAGGGGCGCAAGCCUGAUGCAGCCAUGCCGCGUGUAUGAAGAAGGCCUUCGGGUUGUAAAGUACUUUCAGCGGGGAGGCGUUACCGCAGAAGAAGCACCGGCUAACUCCGUGCCAGCAGCCGCGGUAAUUC
rnacentral:rRNA from 1 species